GACCGCCACACUUUAUUUUAUCAUUUUCCAAUGUUCCUUGAUGGUAUGUUCACGCGGUUCAAAUUUCUUUUGAUCAAGUUUUCUCUUUCUCUUUUAUGUCUGUGAACAAAUAAAAUUUGCAUCUUCUCUCAUUUUCACUAGAUUCUCAUCGCUUCCUUUUGAUACAUUCUUGGUCAAUCUUCUCUCUAUUAUGUUCCCAUCGCUUCCUUUCAUUUUCUUAGUUCAUCAUCUAUUUUGAAAACCUCACCGCCACCGUCAUCAGAAGACCAUCAUUGAUGGACACCAUCGUCGAUGGAGGUUUAAGAUUGUAUCAUGUACCAUGGUGCUAUGGAUGGGAGAACCAAGUCUGAAAGUUAGUGCGUUAAUAUACCUUGUGUUGCUGUCGAUGAUUGUCCAAAGGUAGAGAAACCUUUAAAUAUGUGGUGCAUGCAUCAAUAUUGUGUCUAUGGUUUUAUAAAACCCUAUAAGUGAAUAAUAUUAUGUGUGCUUCAUAAUAUUUUCACUUGUCUAAAUUAUUUCAAAAUUUGAUUUGUACUUUAUCUAGAUUUUCAAUUUAAAUGUAUUUGUAUGCAAUGCGCUCUUCUUUUACUUUCUUGUGUGUUAUCCCAUUAAGUUUUCCUAGCUAGUAAGGUUUUUAUUGACAUUGUUGUCUGUAAAAUGUAUUCCCUUAAUAAUAUAAUAUAUCAUUAUAUUUA